CCUACGGGUGGCAGCAGUGGGGAAUAGUGCACAAUGGGGGAAACCCUAAUGCAGCAACGCCGCGUGAGUGAGGAAGGAUUUCGGGAUGGAAAGCUCUAUCAGCAGGGAAGAGAAAAGAAGGGACCGGAAAAAGAAGCCCCGGCUAACUACGUGCCAGCAGCCGCGGUAAUACGUAGAGGGCAAGCGUGGUCCGGAAUUACUGGGUGUAAAGGGAGCGCAGGCGGGAAGCCAAGUCAGCUGUGAAAACUACGGGCUUAACUUGUAGACUGCAGUUGAAACUGGUUUUCUUGAGUGAAGUAGCGGUUGGCUGCAUUCCGCUUGUAGCGGUGACAUGCGUAGCUAUUCGGCGGAACCCCGGUGGCGCAGGCGGCCCACUGGGCUUUACCUGACGCUGCGGCUC
rnacentral:rRNA from 1 species